AAAGCUUUAUGUUAAAUAAACAAAUAACCUUCAAAGUUAUAAAUGUAAGUUAAUUCUUAUAAGCUUUA
rnacentral:tRNA from 1 species